CAGCAGCCGCGGUAAUACAGAGGGUGCGAGCGUUAAUCGGAUUUACUGGGCGUAAAGCGUGCGUAGGCGGCUUCUUAAGUCGGAUGUGAAAUCCCUGAGCUUAACUUAGGAAUUGCAUUCGAUACUGGGAAGCUAGAGUAUGGGAGAGGAUGGUAGAAUUCCAGGUGUAGCGGUGAAAUGCGUAGAGAUCUGGAGGAAUACCGAUGGCGAAGGCAGCCAUCUGGCCUAAUACUGACGCUGAGGUACGAAAGCAUGGGGAGCAAACAGGAUUAGAUACCCCCGUAGUCCCUGUCUAUUAUAC
rnacentral:rRNA from 1 species